GAUGAACGCUGGCGGCGUGCCUAAUACAUGCAAGUCGAGCGAACAGACGAGGAGCUUGCUCCUCUGACGUUAGCGGCGGACGGGUGAGUAACACGUGGAUAACCUACCUAUAAGACUGGGAUAACUUCGGGAAACCGGAGCUAAUACCGGAUAAUAUAUUGAACCGCAUGGUUCAAUAGUGAAAGACGGUUUUGCUGUCACUUAUAGAUGGAUCCGCGCCGCAUUAGCUAGUUAGUAAGGUAACGGCUUACCAAGGCAACGAUGCGUAGCCGACCUGAGAGGGUGAUCGGCCACCCUGGAACUGAGACACGGUCCAGACUCCUACGGGAGGCAGCAGUAGGGAAUCUUCCGCAAUGGGCGAAAGCCUGACGGAGCAACGCCGCGUGAGUGAUGAAGGUCUUCGGAUCGUAAAACUCUGUUAUUAGGGAAGAACAAAUGUGUAAGUAACUAUGCACGUCUUGACGGUACCUAAUCAGAAAGCCACGGCUAACUACGUG
rnacentral:rRNA from 1 species